GAUGAACGCUAGCGGCAGGCCUAACACAUGCAAGUCGAGGGGUAGAAUUAGCUUGCUAAUUUGAGACCGGCGCACGGGUGCGUAACGCGUAUGCAAUCUGCCUUGUACUGGGGGAUAGCCCAGAGAAAUUUGGAUUAAUACCCCAUAGUAUUUUUGGUUGGCAUCAACUGAUUAUUAAAGUUUUUCGGUACAAGAUGAGCAUGCGUCCCAUUAGCUAGUUGGUAUGGUAACGGCAUACCAAGGCUACGAUGGGUAGGGGUCCUGAGAGGGAGCUCCACCACAAUGGUACUGAGACACGGACCAGACUCCUACGGGAGGCAGCAGUGAGGAAUAUUGGUCAAUGGUCGCAAGACUGAACCAGCCAUGCCGCGUGCAGGAUGAAGCAUCUAUGGUGUGUAAACUGCUUUUGUACGGGAAGAAACACUGCUACGUGUAGCAGCUUGACGGUACCGUAAGAAUAAGGAUCGGCUAACUCCGUGCCAGCAGCCGCCGUAAAAC
rnacentral:rRNA from 1 species